UACGUAGGGAGCAAGCGUUGUCCGGAAUCAUUGGGCGUAAAGCGCGCGUAGGUGGCUUCGUAAGUCCGUUGUGAAAGUCAAAGGCUCAACCUUUGAAAGCCGAUGGAUACUGCGGAGCUAGAGUACGGAAGAGGCGAGUGGAAUUCCUGGUGUAGCGGUGAAAUGCGCAGAUAUCAGGAAGAACACCGAUGGCGAAGGCAGCUCUCUGGGACGGUACUGACGCUGAGACGCGAAAGCGUGGGGAGCGAACAGG
rnacentral:rRNA from 1 species